GUGGGUAGCGGUGAAAUUCCAAACGAACUUGGAGAUAGCUGGUUCUCUCCGAAAUCUCUUUAGGGGGAGCCUCGAGGUUUAGAAUCAUGGAGGUAGAGCACUGUUUGGACUAGGGGCCCGUCAUGGGUUACUGACUUCAGAUAAACUCCGAAUGCCAUUGAUUUUUACUCGGGAGUCACACGGUGAGUGAUAAGAUCCAUCGUGGAAAGGGGAACAGCCCAGAUCAUCAGCUAAGGUCCCUAAAUAUAUGCUAAGUGGAAAAGGAUGUGGAAUUGCACAGACAACUAGGAUGUUGGCUCAGAAGCAGCCAUCAUUUAAAGAGUGCGUAAUAGCUCACUAGUCGAGUGACUCUGCGCCGAAAAUGUACCGGGGCUAAGCAUAUUACCGAAGCUAUGGAUGCAUCCAUCAGGAUGCGUGGUAGGAGAGCGUUCCAAGGGCGAUGAAGUCAGACCGUAAGGACUGGUGGAGCGCUUGGAAGUGAGAAUGCCGGUAUGAGUAGCGAAAGACAGGUGAGAAUCCUGUCCACCGAAUGACUAAGGUUUCCUGGGGAAGGCUCGUCCUCCCAGGGUUAGUCGGGACCUAAGUCGAGGCCGAGAGGCGUAGACGAUGGACAACAGGUUGAUAUUCCUGUACCAGUUGAUUGUGCUUGAGUGAUGGAGUGACGCAGAAGGCUAAGCGAUCCGGACGAUUGGAAGUGUCCGGCCAAGCAGCAAGUCAGUUGAUGAGUCAAAUGCUUAUCAGCGGGUUGACAAGCUGUGACGGGGAGCGAAAUUAUAGUAGCGAAGUCGUUGAUGUCACGCUGCCGAGAAAAGCUUCUAGCGAAUAAUCAACUGCCCGUACCGCAAACCGACACAGGUAGUCGAGGAGAGUAUCCUAAGGUGAGCGAGCGAACUCUCGUUAAGGAACUCGGCAAAAUGACCCCGUAACUUCGGGAGAAGGGGUGCUGAUCGCAAGAUCAGCCGCAGUGAAAAGGCCCAGGCGACUGUUUAUCAAAAACACAGGUUUCUGCAAAAUCGUAAGAUGAAGUAUAGGGGCUGACGCCUGCCCGGUGCUGGAAGGUUAAAAGGAAGAGUUAGCUUCGGCGAAGCCCUGAAUUGAAGCCCCAGUAAACGGCGGCCGUAACUAUAACGGUCCUAAGGUAGCGAAAUUCCUUGUCGGGUAAGUUCCGACCCGCACGAAAGGCGUAACGAUCUGGGCACUGUCUCAACGAGAGACUCGGUGAAAUUGAAUUGCCUGUGAAGAUGCAGGCUACCCGCGACAGGACGGAAAGACCCCAUGGAGCUUUACUGUAGCUUGAUAUUGAGUGCUUGUACUGCUUGUACAGGAUAGGUAGGAGCCAUAGAAGCCAGGACGCUAGUUUUGGCAGAGGCGUUGGUGGGAUACUACCCUUGCAUUAUGAUCACUCUAACCCGCACCACUGAUCGUGGUGGGAGACAGUGUCAGGUGGGCAGUUUGACUGGGGCGGUCGCCUCCCAAAAGAUAACGGAGGCGCCCAAAGGUUCGCUCAGAAUGGUUGGAAAUCAUUCGCAGAGUGUAAAGGCACAAGCGAGCUUGACUGCGAGACAGACAGGUCGAGCAGGGACGAAAGUCGGGCUUAGUGAUCCGGUGGUUCCGCAUGGAAGGGCCAUCGCUCAACGGAUAAAAGCUACCCUGGGGAUAACAGGCU
rnacentral:rRNA from 1 species